rnacentral:rRNA from 1 species
AUUGAACGCUGGCGGCAGGCCUAACACAUGCAAGUCGAACGGUAACAGGAAGCAGCUUGCUGCUUUGCUGACGAGUGGCGGACGGGUGAGUAAUGUCUGGGAAACUGCCUGAUGGAGGGGGAUAACUACUGGAAACGGUAGCUAAUACCGCAUAACGUCGCAAGACCAAAGAGGGGGACCUUAGGGCCUCUUGCCAUCGGAUGUGCCCAGAUGGGAUUAGCUGGUAGGUGGGGUAACGGCUCACCUAGGCGACGAUCCCUAGCUGGUCUGAGAGGAUGACCAGCCACACUGGAACUGAGACACGGUCCAGACUCCUACGGGAGGCAGCAGUGGGGAAUAUUGCACAAUGGGCGCAAGCCUGAUGCAGCCAUGCCGCGUGUAUGAAGAAGGCCUUCGGGUUGUAAAGUACUUUCAGCGGGGAGGAAGGGAGUAAAGUUAAUACCUUUGCUCAUUGACGUUACCCGCAGAAGAAGCACCGGCUAACUCCGUG